rnacentral:rRNA from 1 species
UACAGAGGGUGCGAGCGUUGUCCGGAAUCACUGGGCGUAAAGGGCGCGUAGGUGGUGGCUUAAGCGUGCGGUGAAAGCUCGGGGCUCAACUCCGAGUCGGCCGUGCGAACUGGGCUCACUGGAGCAUAGUAGAGGCAGGUGGAAUUCCGGGUGUAGCGGUGGAAUGCGUAGAGAUCCGGAAGAACGCCGGUGGCGAAGGCGGCCUGCUGGGCUAUGGCUGACACUGAGGCGCGACAGCGUGGGGAGCAAACAGG